rnacentral:rRNA from 1 species
UACGGAAGGCAGCAGUGGGGAAUAUUGCACAAUGGGCGCAAGCCUGAUGCAGCCAUGCCGCGUGUAUGAAGAAGGCCUUCGGGUUGUAAAGUACUUUCAGUCGUGAGGAAGGUGUUAAGGUUAAUAACCUUAGCAAUUGACGUUAGCGACAGAAGAAGCACCGGCUAACUCCGUGCCAGCAGCCGCGGUAAUACGGAGGGUGCGAGCGUUAAUCGGAAUUACUGGGCGUAAAGGGCACGCAGGCGGUUAAUUAAGUUGGAUGUGAAAUCCCCGGGCUUAACCUGGGAAUGGCAUUCAAGACUGGUUAGCUAGAGUCUUGUAGAGGGGGUAGAAUUCCAUGUGUAGCGGUGAAAUGCGUAGAGAUGUGGAGGAAUACCGGUGGCGAAAGGCGGCCCCUGGGACAAAGGACUGACGCUCAUGUGCGAAAAGCGUGGGGAGCAAAACAGGGAUUAGAUACC